GCAGAGUCUACAAGCAAAAGGGAAAGCUACAGAGUCCGUAAUAAAAACCCGAAUCAACAUCAUCUUGGCUUUUCAGAGGUGGCGACAACUCUGAGAUCUGAAAGGAUUUAAAAGGCACCCAGAGAUGGCUUUUAUCUUACUCAAAAGGUUUAACACUCAAAAAAUCUGUUCACCUUAACUAUAAAGCAAUGGUGAAUGCCAUGAGAAGAUGGUCAGAGGUGUACAGCGUGAAGAUGACGUGCUGAUUGGUUCGUCUCUGCUGUCAAUCGAGAAGAGGGUUUUGAUGUGCUGACGUCUGAAAGCGAGAUCCAGUCAUAUGGCUACCAGAAAUCCGGGAACUAUAAAAGGACACGAACGCACCCGAGGGACGGGGCCUUUUCUUAGUGAACUUGAACUUGUGCGUUUGGUAUUGUCUGUUAUGCUUUCUUUGCUCGAUUUCAAAUUUUGAUUGAUAAUUUAUUAAGCUCUGUUAAUGCUUAAUUUGUCAUGUGAGAACACGUUAUUUUGCCGUCCCAUUUUUCCUUAUUUGAAUAUUUUGUGUUUUGAGAUGGAAAGGAAAGAGGGACAGGUAAGAUGUCACGUGACGUACAUCACACACAUUUAGGUUU